rnacentral:rRNA from 1 species
AGUCGAGGGGCAGCAUUUUAGUUUGCUUGCAAACUAAAGAUGGCGACCGGCGCACGGGUGAGUAACACGCUAUCCAACCUGCCGAUAACUCGGGGAUAGCCUUUCGAAAGAAAGAUUAAUAUCCGAUAGUAUAUUAAAACCGCAUGGUUUUACUAUUAAAGAAUUUCGGUUAUCGAUGGGGAUGCGUUCCAUUAGUUUGUUGGCGGGGUAACGGCCCACCAAGACUACGAUGGAUAGGGGUUCUGAGAGGAAGGUCCCCCACAUUGGAACUGAGACACGGUCCAAACUCAUACGGGAGGCAGCAGUGAGGAAUAUUGGUCAAUGGACGAGAGUCUGAACCAGCCAAGUAGCGUGAAGGAUGACUGCCCUAUGGGUUGUAAACUUCUUUUAUAUGGGAAUAAAGUAUUCCACGUGUGGGAUUUUGUAUGUACCAUAUGAAUAAGGAUCGGCUAACUCCGUGCCAGCAGCCGCGGUAAUACGGAGGAUCCGAGCGUUAUCCGGAUUUAUUGGGUUUAAAGGGAGCGUAGGUGGAUUGUUAAGUCAGUUGUGAAAGUUUGCGGCUCAACCGUAAAAUUGCAGUUGAAACUGGCAGUCUUGAGUACAGUAGAGGUGGGCGGAAUUCGUGGUGUAGCGGUGAAAUGCUUAGAUAUCACGAAGAACUCCGAUUGCGAAGGCAGCUCACUAGACUGCAACUGACACUGAUGCUCGAAAGUGUGGGUAUCAAACAGGAUUAGAUACCCUGGUAGUCCACACAGUAAACGAUGAAUACUCGCUGUUUGCGAUAUACAGUAAGCGGCCAAGCGAAAGCAUUAAGUAUUCCACCUGGGGAGUACGCCGGCAACGGUGAAACUCAAAGGAAUUGACGGGGGCCCGCACAAGCGGAGGAACAUGUGGUUUAAUUCGAUGAUACGCGAGGAACCUUACCCGGGCUUAAAUUGCAUUUGAAUAAUCUGGAAACAGGUUAGCCGCAAGGCAAAUGUGAAGGUGCUGCAUGGUUGUCGUCAGCUCGUGCCGUGAGGUGUCGGCUUAAGUGCCAUAACGAGCGCAACCCUUAUCUUUAGUUACUAACAGGUCAUGCUGAGGACUCUAGAGAGACUGCCGUCGUAAGAUGUGAGGAAGGUGGGGAUGACGUCAAAUCAGCACGGCCCUUACGUCCGGGGCUACACACGUGUUACAAUGGGGGGUACAGAAGGCAGCUACCUGGCGACAGGAUGCUAAUCCCAAAAACCUCUCUCAGUUCGGAUCGAAGUCUGCAACCCGACUUCGUGAAGCUGGAUUCGCUAGUAAUCGCGCAUCAGCCAUGGCGCGGUGAAUACGUUCCCGGGCCUUGUACACACCGCCCGUCAAGCCAUGAAAGCCGGGGGUACCUGAAGUACGUAACCGCAAGGAGCUCCUAGG